GACAGAGGGUGCAAACGUUGCUCGGAAUUACUGGGCGUAAAGGGCGUGUAGGCGGGAAGGCAAGUCGGGCGUGAAAUCCCCAGGCUCAACCUGGGAACUGCACUCGAAACUGCCUUUCUUGAGUGCCGGAGAGGAAAGCGGAAUUCCUGGUGUAGAGGUGAAAAUUCGUAGAUAUCAGGAGGAACACCAGUGGCGAAGGCGGCUUUCUGGACGGUAACUGACGCUGAGACGCGAAAGCGUGGGGAGCAAACAGG
rnacentral:rRNA from 1 species